CCCCAGCCCCACUCAGAAGGCUUAAUAGUCCAUGUCCUAUACUUUGCUUUGUUGUCCUCUGUGAGCGAAGUACAUAUGAACAAACUGUCCAGCGGCUAAAGAAUCGUCCAUGCAUCAUGUGUCACCGUGCAGAGAGCACCUGGCUGAAGUUGAGCGCCAGAAUCCAGGCCCCUUUCUGCAUGAACUUGGACACACCUCUCACUUCCUCUGGGUCUGCUUUCUUAUCUGUGAAAGAGGGAGGAGAGGAGGGAUUUGAUGACCACAAAAGUAACUUCAACCUUGACAUUCUUUGACUUUCCUAAACCCUUUAGAGGGGAGGAACCCACGCCGCUGGCAACAGGAGACUCCUGGGAAAGGAAGGAGAAGGAAAGUUUUAGAAAAUCCCCGUGUCCCACAGAUAAUGGGGAAAUACAUGAUUUGCAUAGUGAGAGGAAGGGGAACAAGUCCAAAUGAAGUCAUGAAAGAAUGGUGGUUACUUUUUUUUCCUCAUUUUUUCACUAGGAAACCUUAGAAAUGGCAAAAUGAAAUAAACGAUUAGACUAACGAUUUAAACCACAGUCAUCAGCGCUGGUUGAAUUGUAGAGCUGGGUGAUAAUCCAAUAAAGUAGAUUGCCUGUUAUGUUUUUAAAAUAUACCUAUGAAUAGAUAGUUCCUUAUAUAGCAGAUGCAGAGGCGAUCUGACCAAAGGCUGAAUUCAUGGUAUAAGGCUUUACUCUUAGAAACUGCUUUCCAAUAGAUCGUGGUUUCUACGAGCUGUACUUUCCCUGAGGUUCUGUCUUUGUCUCUCUUCCCUGUAACUCCUGUUUAUUUAGCUCUUCCAUAUUCUUAUUGGAGUGUUCUGUAUUUCACACUUACACACAAACACAUAGACACACAGAGCAUUGCCUUCGGGGAGGAGUUUUAGAUUCUUUGUUCCUAACUUUGAUUGGACCAUCACUUCCUUUUUCUCUUAAAACAAAAAGCAGUCUGCCGAAUUAAGUUCCAUGUUUUUGUUUAAGCCUCAGUUUUGUUUCUCUCUUACAAGACAUUCACCUUAGAAGACAAUUUCCAACUCACACCCUGUCAUUUUUCAUAAUAGCUCCAAACUCUGUAGGUCCAGGAAGUGAACUAAGAUAAAAGGAAGGAUGCCAACCCCAUUGUAGCUGAGAUAUGUCAGAUAUACAGGCCACAACCAGAGCAGCGGGGAGGAACUCACCUUCUCCGUAACAUGCACAAGUUCAUACUGCUACUUCACGUGGAAGAUCGAGGAUGCUUCGUUCCCAUUCCUCGGUCCUGGUUUCUUGGUGCGAUACUGUGUUUUGGUGACGGAAUCUUAGCAGAUUGCUAGCACACUGCUUCCUGUGAAGGAUACAGAUAUUUCGGAAAGGAGCUUCCAGAAUUCACAGCCUGAAGUUGACUCAUACCGGAUGAAGCCAGCGGAAUGGAAUCUUUGGCAGAUCGUCUCUUCCCUUCAGAAGCACUUGAGUUGAAUCGGAAUGACUCUAACCCCAAAGCUACAGUGAGUGAAAACAGGGCGCAGAUUGGAAAGUGCUCAGGGGGGACCUCAUGGAAGACAGAGAACACAGGGCUUGGUGUGGGGAACGGCGACGAAUAAGAGGGCCCAAGCUGGAAGGAACUCGACAGCUUAGCAGAUAUCACCUCGGCCAGUUCAAAACAGCUUCAGGCCUUUGGAAAGUGAUAAGAGAACGCACACCAACUGAGUAGUCUGCCCUCAAGAAAAUGAAUGGAUGGCAUUGUACCAAAUAAGAAAACCUGAAUUUAAGAAAAAGCCAUAAAGUAAUAAUGCCAGCUCUACGUCCAAAGUAAGAAACCAAGGACCUAAAAAAGAAAAAAAAAGCACACAGGGAAUAACUAGUGAUAAUUUUUCAUAUCCCUCCCUAUUUGCCUGCAUUUUUAAAUCUUAGGAUGACACAGUUCCCAUCUUACUGAGAACUCGGUGGAUUUUCUUAUUCCUCUGCUCCAGUAACGUCUGAGUCGUCCCUUGCUUCUGAGUAAUAGUGGUGGAGGGACGGUGUCAAGAGUGCUUUCACUUUGUUUGCUAACCUACUUCCACUUGGGUGGUUGAGCUUCCCAGAGCUGCUCAGUCGGCUCUUAUCUCCAGAGCCUCGGCCAUCAUCCUGCUGUUUAAAUCUCUACGAGGGUGUUGGGGGCACGGGGUUGAGGAUUGCACAGUCGGGAACACGGGCACAUUAGCCCAACCAGGCACAUACAUCAGAGCCGGAUCCGGAGGGUGGCUUGGAAUUGACAGAUUUUUUUAAUCAUAGCACUGGGAGCACGCCCUAGUUCUUUGAGAUGGUAUUAAGCUCUUUAGAUCACUAGGUAAUAUGUACUGUAGGCCCAUAUGCUUUUAAUAUCGUGUUAGGUGAUUAAAUUGCUUGUAUAAUACCUACUUAAAUAGCCAGUGGAAACUGGCCCUAGAGAUGCAUUUUCACAAGGACAUUAUCAAACCUUAUAAUUAAUUAUCAUGUUCAUCUAUUCCCAGGACUUUGUCUCAAAGAAGAUGGCACUUAAUAAUAGCUUUUGUUUCCUGUGUUUAAAGGUCAGUCUAUUGUUUGGUCUGAAUGGGCCUGGCCGUCACCAGAGUCUAAAUACAUGCCCUCUGACUGUCACUGAAAGACUCAACUGUGAAUUCCAUUACACUUGCGGGAAACUUGGAAAGCAGACUCCACCGCAUGGAUCGUGCGAACCCUGCCCAGCCCCAUUGAUGUUAUCAUCCUCAUGGCACAGGCCACCAGAACCACGGUGCCACACAGCUCUGCAAAAGUGUAUUGGGAAGUUGUUUACAUCACAAAUAAGCAAACCUAAAAUGUUAAAAAUCCUCCUUCUUCUGGAAAUGCCAACCGCACCCCCAAAUUCCAUAGCAUGUGUUCCAGUCUUCAUUUGCACCUUUACGUUGGGUGGGAGUGACCGGGCUCCUCCUCGCUGUGUAGGCACAGUUUGCAGAGGGCUUGGGGUUCUGUUCGCCCAGUAGAUAUGUAACCGCUUAACUGGGACCCUGAGGGUCAAGACAGCUAGUUUCUCUUGGACAUGCUCUGUCAGUCCAGUGUAGCAUACAGACGGCCGCCUUUUAAAUGCUCUCUCCCUGGCUUUGCCCUUGUUUGGAAAGGAAGGAAGUUGUAUCUCAUGGCUCCUGUGAUGACGUGAUCAAGUGCUUUGAUUUCCAUAGCGAGACCAGGGUUUCUUGAAGAAUCUUCUGACACUUCCUAAGACAUUAGAUUGUGUAGUUUUUGAUGGCAAGGAUGCACCUUAUAUAGUGCCUAACACAGGUAAAUAAUAUAUGCUUUUAGUUACAUUUAUAGACAGUUCAUCUGUGGCAAGUCCCACCAUCAGUGGUUUUGGUGUGUUCAGGGAACAAAUUUUUGAGUAUUUAUCUUGUGCCAGGCAUUGUACUACCUGUUGGGACUAAGAUGUCGUCACCAGUACGAAGGAGCUUGCAGUCUAAAGGGAAGGCGAACAUGUAUAAAUCACUAGUGUUUAAACUGCUACAUGCUUGAGAAGUAGAAGUGUGCAAAAGGAAAAGUAAGCUCACAGAGCAGAGAGAGAUUAAUUCCCAUUCGGAAAACUGUCAGUUUUGACUUUUGAGCUGAAUCUUUAAGCAUGAGUCAGAGUUCGGCAGAUGGAGAAAGAGGAAAGGGCAUUCUAGGCUAUUGGCGUCAUUGCUUUUUAAACUUUUAAUAUGUUUUGCGACUUAAAACAUUCUAAUCCCACCUAUCUUUAUGAUUCAAGAAGAAUAAAAUUCAUGACAAUUGUUUUCUC